GGGUGCAGUGGCUCACGCCUGUAAUCCCAGCACUUUGGGAAGCCAAGGUGGGUAGAUCAUUUGAGGUCAGGAGUUCGAGACCAGUUUGGCCAACAUGGUGACACCCUAUCUCUACGAAAAAUACAAAAAUCAGCCCCUUUUCACAAGAUGGCACCAAAAGCUAAGAAGGAAGCUCCUGCCCCUCCUAAAGCCAAAGCAAGGCUCUGAAGGCCAAGAAGGCAGUGUUGAAAGGUGUCCACAGCCACAAAAAAAAGAAGAUCCGCGUAUCACUAGCCUUCUGGCGGCCCAAGACAUUGCGACUCCGGAGGCAGUGCAAAUAUCUUAAGAGCACCCCCAGGAGAAACAAGCUUGACCACUAUGCAUCAUCAAGUUUCCUCUGACCACUGAGUCUCCAUGAAGAAGACAGAAGACACACGCACUUGUGUUCACUGUGAAUGUUAAGCCACAGCACCAGAGAAGCUCUAUGACACUGAUGUGGCCAAGGUCAACACCCUGAUUCGGCCUGAUGGAGAGAAGGAACAUGUUCGACUGGCUCCUGAUUACAAUGCUUUGGAUGUUGCCAACAAAAUAGGGAUCAUCUCAACUGAGUCCAGUUGGCUAAUUCUAAAUAUAUGUAUAUCUUUUCACCAUUAA
rnacentral:lncRNA from 1 species